rnacentral:misc_RNA from 1 species
AAGUCGUAACAAGGUUUCCGUAGGUGAACCUGCGGAAGGAUCAUUAACAAAUCAAAAGUUAGCUGACUUUUUAUUGUCAGUGUAACAUAUGUGCUCCGAGCAUUUGUCUUGGUUGCAUCAAUAUAUAUAUCAUUAUUGUAUUCAAUUUAUUAUCAUAUUUUUGAGUAAUAUCACAAAUACUUUUAACAAUGGAUCUCUUGGCUCUU